CCACAUUGUUCCUAGAAGGGCUACUCUCUUAUUAAAUAUAGUCAUUUUAAUUGGACUAGUUUAAAAUACUUUUUGACUGUAUUUAACUUAAAACGAAUGUCGGUCAAAUGGAAAACAAAUAUUCAUUACUUUGCCAGUCCAUAAUAUUUUAGUGUUUAGCACAGCAGUGUCUCAUCAGCAUGAGGUUGGUUACUGGCUUGCUAUUGAGGCUUGGCAGUACUUGCGAAGCAAAAAUCAAGAAAGUUACGGUGAAAAAUUGUGAUUGAAAACACCUUC